rnacentral:lncRNA from 10 species
CUUGGGGUGUUUCUGUGUGGGAAAAGAAAUCCCUUCUUUCUUCAUCUGGAACAGGAAUUAAAAGAAAUUAAAGAAUGUGUAAGCAGAAACUCAGUUGUAUGUAAGAAAACCUAAUUCCCUCUGAGAAAGAGAAAGAGCUGGAGUCCUUUAAAAUUAACUGCCUGUUUUUCUGUGGCUGUUGAGCCUUAUCUCUCCUCCUUUCCCAGGCAUUGUGAAGACCCUGUUUCCCUAGCUGUGCAGCUGCAAGGUCACUAGACAGAUAAACUCAAGUUGCAAAACACGUUUUCCUAGAAAACCCCAGGCCUCCAUUCUGCUUGCUGCAGCCGCUGGAACCACAGAUGCUCCCUGGCAGGGCCACCAUACCCUCCAGCACCAGCUCCUCACCUCAUGCCUCUCAGGCAGAUUUGGAUCAUCUGCCUGGCCAGAAGGGGUUUUCUUGGGACAAAAUUUGAGUGGAAAAGCAUCCCAGACAGAGGUAACAGAGGUACAGAUGCACGGACAAGAAAGGCCCCUGAGGUGUGGAGAGUAUUGGUUCCACGGAACGGGUCCCCAGUGGUUUUAUGAUCAGGCAAGUUGGGAACACCAGUCCCAGUGUGCACAUCACCACAGGGGCUGCACAAAUGGAUUCCAGCAAUGGGGAGGCCAGCAGGUGCCCAUGGCGCAGGUCCUGACGGCACAUCAGGAACAGAGGUCUUGAAGGCACAUC